UACACACAAAAAGCGUAAUUGGGUUCUCUUGUUUAUAACGUGUAAAGUUUAAGUUUCAAUUUCUGUUCUAAUACAGGAAGUUUAAAAUAAAACACAACGUUAUUUUGUUCCGAAAACGAAAGGGGGUUUAGUAAUUUCUAAAGCAAAUUUUACUGAGUUUUCGUUAUUGAAGUAAUUCAGCGAUGCCGAACAUUGCCGUACAUAUCUGGAGACCAGACAGUGAAAACAUCGGGCAUAGCGCUCUAGCAUUAAGUGAUGGAACCUAUAUAAGUUGGUGGCCUGAGACUGAAUGUGGUGCUAGUAAUCCAAGAGUACGAGCAGCUCCCAAUGCUUCGCUCAGCGACGACAUUCAGGCUUAAGGAAACAGACAACCGAUUUCGUACAAUAUCCAAGUGUCCGAUAGAGAGCUGAAUGCAAUAAAGUCCUGGUGGGCUGGCUUUAAAGGAAAGGCGGAUUACCAGUUUGUUUCAAACAACUGCUCUACUGUUGCCUACUACGCACAAGAGGCGGCAUUCCCCUUCCUGACAGCCCUCAAUGAUGCAGUGCCAGUGUGGGUACCACAGGCGGUAGAAAUGGUAGCUCAAGACCUUGCGGCUGGAAAAAGGAGCAUGGAUACAAAGAGAAUUAAUGAAAUUAAACAGGUCGCUGAAGCUGAAAUUAAAAGAAUAGCUGGUGCCCAUGGGCUCGCGGCAAAGAAAGUCAAUAGAGUGAAAAUCGGCAAAGCUGGCAGGAGAUGACAUUUUUAUGAAUGGUGUCUAGAGCUUCAAAGCAUAAGCAAGAAAAUGUAUAUGUUUAUUUCUUUUGGUAUGGUUGAUUCAGCUUUUGAUAUUGAAAUUUUACGCGUGCUGAACUUAUUUCUUCUUGAUAUGUAUUAUGAAUUAUGUAGAAACGCUGAAAUGAGAAGCAGGGAAGUGUGAUUUAAUUGUAGUCUAAAGUGGUUGACUGUGAAUAUUGUGUAAUCAGAAGGCACUAGAACCUGAGUAUCAUUUUAUGUUGUAGAACAAUUAACAGAAAAUACGUAAUACUAUCAUGUCCUUGUGUAUAGAAAUAUAGCAGCCCCAUGUACGAAAAAAAAGUUUGCGAAUGAAAGUAUCUAGAAAUAUAUAUAACUGUGAAGUAAAAGUUCAGUCAUACUUUAA
rnacentral:lncRNA from 1 species